UACGUAGGGGGCUAGCGUUGUCCGGAUUUAUUGGGCGUAAAGAGCGUGUAGGCGGCCAUGCAGGUCCGCUGUGAAAACUCGAGGCUCAACCUCGAGACGUCGGUUGAAACCGUUUGGCUAGAGUCCGGAAGAGGAGAGUGGAAUUCCCGGUGUAGCGGUGAAAUGCGUAGAUAUUGGGAAGAACACCGGUGGCGAAAGCGCCUUGCUGGACCUGCACUGACACUGAGGGACGAAAGCUAGGGGAGCGAAAGGG
rnacentral:rRNA from 1 species